UGGGGAAUCUUGCGCAAUGCGCGAAAGCGUGACGCAGCAACGCCGCGUGAGGGAAGACGGCCUUCGGGUUGUAAACCUCUUUCAGUUGGGACGAAGCCCUGUCGGUGAAUAGCCGGCGUGGGUGACGGUACCUUCAGAAGAAGCCCCGGCUAACUACGUGCCAGCAGCCGCGGUAAUACGUAGGGGGCAAGCGUUGUCCGGAAUCAUUGGGCGUAAAGCGCGUGUAGGCGGCCAAGUAAGUCCGUUCUGAAAGCCCGGGGCUCAACCCCGGGAGGCGGAUGGAUACUGCUUGGCUCGAGUCCGGAAGAGGCGAGUGGAAUUCCCGGUGUAGCGGUGAAAUGCGCAGAUAUCGGGAGGAACACCAAUGGCGAAGGCAGCUCGCUGGGACGGUACUGACGCUGAGACGCGAAAGCGUGGGGAGCAAACAG
rnacentral:rRNA from 1 species